UUGUUGCAGUUAAAAAGCUCGUAGUUGAACUUCUAAAGUUAGGAUAGUCGCCAAUCGGUUUGACAUGUCCUUCUUUAUCCGCUUUGAUUUAGCAAUACGCACUUUGUUGGGCGAUUGUGUAAUCAAGCAAUUUACUUUGAAAAAAUUAGAGUGUUUCACGCAGGCGAUAUGCUGGAAUACAUUAGCAUGGAAUAAUAGAACACGAACUCUUAGGCAUUUUAUUGGUAUAUGACUGGAGGUAAUGAUUAACAGGGACAGUUGGGGGCAUUAGUAUUGCAUUGUCAGAGGUGAAAUUCAUUGAUUAGUGCAAGACUAACUUAUGCGAAAGCAUUUGCCAAGGAUGUUUUCAUUAAUCAAGAACGAAAGUUAGGGGAUCAAAGACGAUUAGAUACCGUCCUAGUCUUAACCAUAAACUAUACCGACUAGGGAUUAGUGAGGAGUAUUGUGCCUCAUUAGCACCUUAUGAGA
rnacentral:rRNA from 1 species